GUCGACGCCUUGUCGUUCAACUGAUUUAGAGAGCUUGCUCGAAGAAGACGUUGAACAAUGCAAGGAGUGGCGAACGGGUGAGUAACACGUGGGAAACCUACCUCUUAGUAGGGGAUAACAUCUGGAAACAGGUGCUAAUACCGCAUAACAACGAUAACCGCAUGGUUAUCGCUUGAAAGGUGGCGUAAGCUACCGCUAAGAGAUGGUCCCGCGGUGCAUUAGUUAGUUGGUGAGGUAAAGGCUCACCAAGACGAUGAUGCAUAGCCGAGUUGAGAGACUGAUCGGCCACAAUGGGACUGAGACACGGCCCAUACUCCUACGGGAGGCAGCAGUAGGGAAUCUUCCACAAUGGACGAAAGUCUGAUGGAGCAACGCCGCGUGUGUGAUGAAGGGUUUCGGCUCGUAAAACACUGUUGUAAGAGAAGAAUGAUACUAAGAGUAACUGUUUAGUAUGUGACGGUAUCUUACCAGAAAGGAACGGCUAAGUACGUGCCAGCAGCCGCGGUAAUACGUAUGUUCCAAGCGUUAUGCGGAUUUACUGGGCGUAAAGCGAGCGCAGACGGUUGGUUAAGUCUGAACUGAAAGCCCACAGCUUAACUGUGGAAGUGCUUUGGAAACUGGAUAACUUCAGUGCAGUAGAGGAAAGUGGAGCUCAGUGUGUG
rnacentral:rRNA from 1 species